UACGUAGGGCGCAAGCGUUAUCCGGAAUUAUUGGGCGUAAAGAGCUCGUAGGCGGUUUGUCGCGUCUGCCGUGAAAGUCCGGGGCUCAACUCCGGAUCUGCGGUGGGUACGGGCAGACUAGAGUGAUGUAGGGGAGACUGGAAUUCCUGGUGUAGCGGUGAAAUGCGCAGAUAUCAGGAGGAACACCGGUGGCGAAGGCGGCAUCCUGGGAC
rnacentral:rRNA from 1 species